rnacentral:rRNA from 1 species
CGUAGGGGGCGAGCGUUGUCCGGAAUCAUUGGGCGUAAAGCGCGUGUAGGCGGCUUGAUAAGUCUGGUGUGAAAUCCUGGGGCUUAACCCCAGACCUGCACUGGAUACUGUCAAGCUUGAGUCCGGGAGGGGAGAGCGGAAUUCCUAGUGUAGCGGUGAAAUGCGCAGAUAUUAGGAAGAACACCGAUGGCGAAGGCGGCUCUCUGGAACGGUACUGACGCUGAGACGCGAAAGCGUGGGGAGCGAACAGGAUU